rnacentral:rRNA from 1 species
AGCGAACGCUGGCGGCAGGCCUAACACAUGCAAGUCGAACGAACUCUUCGGAGUUAGUGGCGGACGGGUGAGUAACACGUGGGAACGUGCCUUUAGGUUCGGAAUAACUCAGGGAAACUUGAGCCAAUACCGGAUGUGCCCUUCGGGGGAAAGAUUUAUCGCCUUUAGAGCGGCCCGCGUCUGAUUAGCUAGUUGGUGAGGUAAAGGCUCACCAAGGCGACGAUCAGUAGCUGGUCUGAGAGGAUGAUCAGCCACAUUGGGACUGAGACACGGCCCAAACUCCUACGGGAGGCAGCAGUGGGGAAUCUUGCGCAAUGGGCGAAAGCCUGACGCAGCCAUGCCGCGUGAAUGAUGAAGGUCUUAGGAUUGUAAAAUUCUUUCACCGGGGACGAUAAUGACGGUACCCGGAGAAGAAGCCCCGGCUAACUUCGUG